rnacentral:rRNA from 1 species
UGUCCAGACUCCUACGGGAGGCAGCAGUGGGGAAUAUUGCACAAUGGGGGAAACCCUGAUGCAGCGACGCCGCGUGAGCGAUGAAGUAUUUCGGUAUGUAAAGCUCUAUCAGCAGGGAAGAAAAUGACGGUACCUGACUAAGAAGCCCUGGCUAACUACGUGCCAGCAGCCGCGGUAAUACGUAGGGGGCAAGCGUUAUCCGGAUUUACUGGGUGUAAAGGGGGCGCAGACGGCAGCGCAAGCCAGGAGUGAAAGCCCGGGGCCCAACCCCGGGACUGCUCUUGGAACUGCGCGGCUGGAGUGCAGGAGGGGCAGGCGGAAUUCCUGGUGUAGCGGUGAAAUGCGUAGAUAUCAGGAGGAACACCAGUGGCGAAGGCGGCCUGCUGGACGACAACUGACGGUGAGGCGCGAAAGCGUGGGGAGCAAACAGGAUUAGAUACCCGCGUAC